GUCUCCCUGUUGUGUUUGAGUAAGAACUUAAUUUCUUGAGCCAACAGUUAGUGAAAGGGGUUGAUGGAUCGACUGUGGUGCGCAAGCCUUCUUUGGGAAGGUAGCCUAAAGCAGUGCACGGAUUCCCCACCUGUCCUUGACAGGUUCAAAAAAUAGUUUUUGCCCGGCAUUAACGGGGGGACU
rnacentral:other from 1 species